rnacentral:rRNA from 1 species
AGAAUGAACGUUGGCGGCGUGGAUUAGGCAUGCAAGUCGUACGGGCCGCAAGGCCAGUGGCGCAAGGGUGAGUAAGGCGACGGUAACCAACCCCAUGACUGGGUAUAGCCGCGGGAAACUGCGGGUAAUCCCCAGCGACGUCGCGGGGGGGCAUCCCCCCGCGACCAAAGCCCCGGCGUCGUGGGACGGGCCGUCGUGGUAUUAGGUAGUUGGCGGGGUAACGGCCCACCAAGCCGGCGAUGCCUACCGGGCGUGCGAGCGCGACCCGGCACACUGGGACUGAGACACUGCCCAGACUCCUACGGGAGGCUGCAGUCGAGAAUCUUCGGCAAUGGGCGCAAGCCUGACCGAGCGACGCCGCGUGGAGGACGAAGGCCUUCGGGUUGUAAACUCCUGUCGAGGGGGAAGAAGCCGGGUAACCGGUUGACUGAUCCCUGGAGGAAGCGACGGGCUAAGUUCGCGCCAGCAGCCGC